GACGAACGCUGGCGGCGUGCUUAACACAUGCAAGUCGAACGGAAAGGCCCUGCUUUUGUGGGGUGCUCGAGUGGCGAACGGGUGAGUAACACGUGAGUAACCUGCCCUUGACUUUGGGAUAACUUCAGGAAACUGGGGCUAAUACCGGAUAGGAGCUCCUGCUGCAUGGUGGGGGUUGGAAAGUUUCGGCGGUUGGGGAUGGACUCGCGGCUUAUCAGCUUGUUAGUGGGGUAGUGGCUUACCAAGGCUUUGACGGGUAGCCGGCCUGAGAGGGUGACCGGCCACAUUGGGCCUGAGAUACGGCCCAGACUCCAACGGGAGGCAGCAGUGGGGAAUAUGGCGCAAUGGGCGGAAGCCUGAUGCAGCAACGCCGCGGGCGGGAUGACGGCCUUCGGGGUGUAAACCGCUUUCGCCUGUGACGAAGCGUGAGUGACGGUAAUGGGUAAAGAAGCACCGGCUAACUACGUG
rnacentral:rRNA from 1 species